UUCCGUCCACGUGCCUCCUCCGGUUUGACUCCCAAUCCUGCGUCGUGACGUUCCAUCUGCACAUGCACACCAUGGAAACCGUUACUAGGGCAUAUGGUGUCUGCAUUUGUGCCCUUGAGCAAAUCACAGGAUGCCGGAGCUUAUCCCAGCUGACUUGGGACAAAAGGCAGAAUACAACCUGGACUGGUUACCGGCCGGUCAGUCACAGCACACAAAUGGAGGACAUCAAGGUCAAACGGGAAGGGGACGGCUAGGACAAAGCAGCCGACCCAGGUGGUGGAUCAGCCACUGGAGGAAUGCAAAGAAGCAGGAAGUUCCCCUACUCUCUUCUGGUUUGGCCAGACAUGAGCCCGGCGACAAAAUCUUUCACGGCCUGGUCCUGAAGGUACGAGCUGACGUCGCUGGUGUAUGUGCCCUCGGCGUGACGCUUUUCCAUGCUGCUGGGAACAAGAGCCAGCGUCAUCUUGUGUCAGUCACCGAACAGGCGAACUUCAUCGAUGUACCGUAAUUUUCGGACUAUAAGUCGCACCAGCCAUAAAAUGCCUAAAAAAGUGAAAAAAAUACAUAUAUAUGUAUAUAAGUCGCUCCUGAGUAUAAGUCGCCCCCCCCCCACCCAAACUAUGAAAAAAAACAUGACUUAUAGUCCGAAAAUUACGGUAUGUUGCCGCUAUUCAUACAGCGAACCUUUCUUUUCAUAAUUAAUGGAGCGAUUAAUCGAUGAUCAAAAUACAUUUUAGCGUACAGUAUAUGCACGAGGUUUUUUUAAACCACAAAAUAAACGUAACCCGCACAACACUACAACUAUUGGAUUCUUGGUAGAUUGAACAACACCAAUUCCAUUCAGCAAAUAGAAUACAAAGCGAUAUCAGAACAAACCAUCAAGAGGUAUAAAUGGACCACUAACCCGCUCCGCUUGUUGUUCAUGAGCCACUGAACAAAGUCCUGAGCUUUCCGGUCUUCAAGAUAUUUGCUGUAGUCGUUGGAAAAAGUUCCCUCCGAAUGUCUCCUCAUUAAAGCGUCGUCUGUCUCUGAACUUGGGGAGGAAGAACAAGUGGCGGCAAAUGUAACCUCACCUACUACUGUAUUUCCAAUCGGGGCUGUACCUUGAGAUGUCUUGAAGAGGAACCUGCCAGCUACAUUGGACAAAGCUGAGGACGACAAGGAGGCCAGCCAAGGAGCGAACGUUUGUCAUUGCUACAACCUGUCUCGUAGAACCACAAGCACAAAGAACGGCAACUUUCCGUCUUUGCCUGCGGCUCGUGAAUACCUGAAGGUGGAUCUGCUUAGGUGGGUAGGCUUCCGCCUUAUGUACGGCCCAUCGAUUAUUUCAGUCCAUUUGUUUAA